UUUUGUAUAAUGGGUCAGCGACUUAUAUUCUGUAGCAAGGUUAACCGAAUAGGGGAGCCGAAGGGAAACCGAGUCUUAACUGGGCGUUAAGUUGCAGGGUAUAGACCCGAAACCCGGUGAUCUAGCCAUGGGCAGGUUGAAGGUUGGGUAACACUAACUGGAGGACCGAACCGACUAAUGUUGAAAAAUUAGCGGAUGACUUGUGGCUGGGGGUGAAAGGCCAAUCAAACCGGGAGAUAGCUGGUUCUCCCCGAAAGCUAUUUAGGUAGCGCCUCGUGAAUUCAUCUCCGGGGGUAGAGCACUGUUUCGGCAAGGGGGUCAUCCCGACUUACCAACCCGAUGCAAACUGCGAAUACCGGAGAAUGUUAUCACGGGAGACACACGGCGGGUGCUAACGUCCGUCGUGAAGAGGGAAACAACCCAGACCGCCAGCUAAGGUCCCAAAGUCAUGGUUAAGUGGGAAACGAUGUGGGAAGGCCCAGACAGCCAGGAUGUUGGCUUAGAAGCAGCCAUCAUUUAAAGAAAGCGUAAUAGCUCACUGGUCGAGUCGGCCUGCGCGGAAGAUGUAACGGGGCUAAACCAUGCACCGAAGCUGCGGCAGCGACACUAUGUGUUGUUGGGUA
rnacentral:rRNA from 1 species